rnacentral:rRNA from 1 species
GACGAACGCUGGCGGCGUGCUUAACACAUGCAAGUCGAGCGGUAAGGCCCUUUCGGGGGUACACGAGCGGCGAACGGGUGAGUAACACGUGGGUGACCUGCCCUCAGCUCUGGGAUAAGCCCGGGAAACGUAGGGUCUAAUACCGGAUAUGACUUCAUGACGCAUGUUGUGGAGUGGAAAGCCUUGUGCGGCUGAGGAUGGGCCCGCGGCCUAUCAGCUUGUUGGUGGGGUGANGGCCUACCAAGGCGACGACGGGUAGCCGGCCUGAGAGGGCGACCGGCCACACUGGGACUGAGAUACGGCCCAGACUCCUACGGGAGGCAGCAGGUGGGGAAUCUUGCGCAAGUGGGCGAAAGCCUGACG